GAUGAACGCUAGCUACAGGCUUAACACAUGCAAGUCGAGCGAACGGACGAGAAGCUUGCUUCUCUGAUGUUAGCGGCGGACGGGUGAGUAACACGUGGAUAACCUACCUAUAAGACUGGGAUAACUUCGGGAAACCGGAGCUAAUACCGGAUAAUAUUUUGAACCGCAUGGUUCAAAAGUGAAAGACGGUCUUGCUGUCACUUAUAGAUGGAUCCGCGCUGCAUUAGCUAGUUGGUAAGGUAACGGCUUACCAAGGCAACGAUGCAUAGCCGACCUGAGAGGGUGAUCGGCCACACUGGAACUGAGACACGGUCCAGACUCCUACGGGAGGCAGCAGUAGGGAAUCUUCCGCAAUGGGCGAAAGCCUGACGGAGCAACGCCGCGUGAGUGAUGAAGGUCUUCGGAUCGUAAAACUCUGUUAUUAGGGAAGAACAUAUGUGUAAGUAACUGUGCACAUCUUGACGGUACCUAAUCAGAAAGCCACGGCUAACUACGUG
rnacentral:rRNA from 1 species